GGGGGAAUUUUCCNCAAUGGGCGCAANCCUGACGGAGCAAGACCGCGUGGGGGAUGACGGCCUAAUGGUUGUAAACCCCUUUUCUCUGGGAAGAAACCUGACGGUACCAGAGGAAUCAGCCUCGGCUAACUCCGUGCCAGCAGCCGCGGUAAUACGGAGGAGGCAAGCGUUAUCCGGAAUUAUUGGGCGUAAAGCGUCCGUAGGUGGUGAUUCAAGUCUGCUGUCAAAGCGUGGGGCUUAACUCCAUAGAGGCAGUGGAAACUGAGUGACUAGAGUGCGGUAGGGGUCGAGGGAAUUCCCAGUGUAGCGGUGAAAUGCGUAGAUAUUGGGAAGAACACCAGUGGCGAAAGCGCUC
rnacentral:rRNA from 1 species